AUUGAACGCUGGCGGCAGGCCUAACACAUGCAAGUCGAACGGUAGUACAGAGAGCUUGCUCUCGGGUGACGAGUGGCGGACGGGUGAGUAACGUCUGGGAAACUGCCCGAUGGAGGGGGAUAACUACUGGAAACGGUAGCUAAUACCGCAUAACGUCGCAAGACCAAAGUGGGGGACCUUCGGGCCUCACACCAUCGGAUGUGCCCAGAUGGGAUUAGCUAGUAGGUGGGGUAAUGGCUCACCUAGGCGACGAUCCCUAGCUGGUCUGAGAGGAUGACCAGCCACACUGGAACUGAGACACGGUCCAGACCCCUACGGGAGGCAGCAGUGGGGAAUAUUGCACAAUGGGCGCAAGCCUGAUGCAGCCAUGCCGCGUGUAUGAAGAAGGCCUUCGGGUUGUAAAGUACUUUCAGCGGGGAGGAAGGCGGUGAAGUUAAUAGCUUCACCGAUUGACGUUACCCGCAGAAGAAGCACCGGCUAACUCCGUGCCAGCAGCAGCCGCGG
rnacentral:rRNA from 1 species